rnacentral:rRNA from 1 species
CAAUAGCGUAUAUUAAAGUUGUUGCGGUUAAAAAGCUCGUAGUUGGAUUUCGGCGGACAGGGGGCGGUUCGAUAUUUGUCGCUACUGCCCCAUUUGUCCGUGUUUUUGGCGGAGGUUUCAGGGUGCUCUUCACCGAGUGUCCUGGGACGCCGUCAGGUUUACUUUGAAAAAAUUAGAGUGCUCAAAGCAGGCUUUACACGCUUGAAUAUUCGUGCAUGGAAUAAUGGAAUAGGACGUCGUUUCUAUCUUGUUGGUUUUCGGAAAUCGACGUAAUGAUUAACAGGGACAGUCGGGGGCAUUAGUAUUCAGACGACAGAGGUGAAAUUCUUGGACCGUCUGAAGACUAACUACUGCGAAAGCAUUUGCCAAGAAUGUCUUCAUUAA